GCUCACGAGUACUUCAAAACAACAAUGGCGGAAAACAGGGGCCUGUUUCAGAAAGGAGGUUCAACCAACUCUGAGUAAAAACUUGAACUCUGAGUUGACUUACCCUGAGAUGGAAAACUCUGAGUUUUCAGUUACAGAACAGCUGAAAUUAGUUCGUUCAAUCAACUCUAAGUUGACUGACUCUGAGUUAAGCGAGUGCACCACAACUAUAAAAAGCCAUUAGCAAUGGAGCGCAGAUAUUAUGAGUCACCAUGGCAGCAGCGGCGAAGGACAGAGAGUUAGCUUGGGAGAAAAUAGCUGCUCGAGUCAAUGCGUGCAAUCCUGCAGGCAUUAAAAGAACGUGGCAGCAGCUGAAAAUGAAAUAUAAAAACAUAAUUCAAUCAGCCAACAGAAAGAAGGCAGAGGCUCGUAAAACAGGGGGAGGACCUGCACCACCACCUCUGACAAAUGCAGAAGAGAUGGCCCUGAGCCUGAAUGCUGGAAGGCCAAUGGCUGAGGGAAUUCCUGGAGGGACUUCAUCAGAGUCAGUCACUCCUGAAGAUUGAAGUGCCUUCAUAAAAUCCUCCUGUCCCAACAGAACCCCAGGCAGUUGAUGAUGGGGAUGAAGAAACAGUUUCUACUGCCACAGAGAGGCCUACAGAGAGUGUGGAAGAACAGCAGGAGGAAGGUCCAUCGACUUCUGGUGCACAGAUGAACACAGUUCAGUGAUUUUCAGUAAAUGCCACAGUUUAAUUAUGUAGAAUUUGUUUAGAACUACAUGAUGUAACUCCAAUCUACUGUAUUUUCAGUUGCCAGUUAAGGAGUUAUAUAGACUUCAUCUUAUUAAAUUAAAAAAAAAAAAAAAGCAAAGAACUUAUAUACUUGGAUCGCCAGAUCCAAAAGGCAGAUCUGGAAAUCGAGAUUCUGAAACUAAAGCUAGAGGUGAGUGUAUGGUCACAGGUUAAUUCUAGGAAGUAUUGAAACUAUAUUAAAAUCUAACUGUUUUUGAAUUUGUAGGAAAUAAAGAA